rnacentral:tmRNA from 1 species
GGGGGCGUAAAGGUUUCGACGGGGGUCUUGAAGUGUGAUAAGCGAGCGGAGCGGGUAUAAUCUCCUUAAACUGUGCCACGUUUAAAUAUAAACGCUAGAAGAAAUAUUACAGUUACUAGAAAUAGUGCACUGGUAGCUGCUUAAGUCAGCUACUGUCCGGUGAUAGAGUACCACGGCUUUCAUUCGGGCAUCGAUUAGUGGUGAACGAUUCUCCGGUGUGUCCGUACCGUUGAAUUGUAUUCGGACUACUCUGCGUUUCAGCCCGCUUACCGGCGGUCUCUCAGAGGAACUCUAAUAGGUAAUAUACGCUCGUAGAAAGUUGCAUGAAUGGAUUUUCGGACAGGGGUUCAAUUCCCCUCGCCUCCACCA